AACGAACGCUGGCGGCAUGCCUAACACAUGCAAGUCGAACGAGACCUUCGGGUCUAGUGGCGCACGGGUGAGUAACGCGUGGGAACCUGCCCUUAGGUUCGGAAUAACUCCCCGAAAGGGGUGCUAAUACCGGAUAAUGUCUUCGGACCAAAGAUUUAUCGCCUUUGGAUGAGCCCGCGUUGGAUUAGCUAGUUGGUAGGGUAAAAGCCUACCAAGGCGACGAUCCAUAGCUGGUCUGAGAGGAUGAUCAGCCACACUGGGACUGAGACACGGCCCAGACUCCUACGGGAGGCAGCAGUGGGGAAUAUUGGACAAUGGGCGAAAGCCUGAUCCAGCAAUGCCGCGUGAGUGAUGAAGGCCUUAGGGUUGUAAAGCUCUUUUACCCGGGAUGAUAAUGACAGUACCGGGAGAAUAAGCUCCGGCUAACUCCGUG
rnacentral:rRNA from 1 species